rnacentral:rRNA from 1 species
AUUCCAGCUCCAGUAGCGUAUAUUAAAGUUGUUGCAGUUAAAAAGCUCGUAGUUGGAUUUCUGAUAGUAGCGUUGGGCCCGCCCGGGUUACCGGUGUGAGUGCCUGUUCGCUCCUUUCAUCCUUCUAGAGAACGGUUCUCUCCUUCAUUGGCAGUGGGAUCGCAAUCUAGAUCUUUUACUUUGAAAAAAUUAGAGUGUUUAAAGCAGGCUUGUGCUAUGAAUACAUUAGCAUGGAAUAAUAAUUUAGGACUUUAGUUCUAUUUUGUUGGUUUCUAGAACUGAAGUAAUGAUUGAUAGGGAUAGUUGGGGGUGCUAGUAUUCAGCGGCCAGAGGUGAAAUUCUUGGAUUUAUGGAAGACAAACUAAUGCGAAAGCAUCUACCAAGGAUGGUUUCAUCA